rnacentral:rRNA from 1 species
UACGUAGGUGGCAAGCGUUGUCCGGAUUUACUGGGCGUAAAGGAUGCGUAGGCGGAUUUUUAAGUGAGAUGUGAAAUUCCCGAGCUUAACUUGGGGGCUGCAUUUCAAACUGGAAGUCUAGAGUGCGGGAGAGGAAAGUGGAAUUCCUAGUGUAGCGGUGAAAUGCGUAGAGAUUAGGAAGAACACCAGUGGCGAAGGCGACUUUCUGGACUGUAACUGACGCUGAGGCUCGAAAGCGUGGGGAGCAAAC